UUUUUAAGGUGAAAUUUAAAGAUUAAUUUUUUAAUUUUAUUUAAUUUGAUUUUGUUAUAUUUUUGUUUUAGACUAGGAUUAGAUACCCUAUUAUUUUAAAUUUAAAUUUUCUUUUGAUUAGUAUUAGUUAUGUUCUUGAAAAUUAAAGAUUUUGGCGGUAUUUUAUAUGUUCAGAGGAACCUGUUUUAUAAUCGAUAGUCCACGAUAAGGUUAAUUUAAUUUACUAGUUUGUAUAUCGUCGUUUGGAAUAUUUCAUUAGAUUAAGAAUAUUCAUGAAACUUUAUUUUGUGUUAGGUCAGAUCAAGGUGCAGUUUAUAAUUAAGGAAUGAUGGGUUACAAUAAAUUUAUUUUUGGUUUAUUCUAUUGGUGUAGGAUAAUAAAUUGGAUUUGUAAGUAAUUUUAUUUAUUUAUUAAGGUGAUUUUAUCCCUAAAAUAUGCACAUAUCGCCCGUCGCUUUCAUGUAAAAUGAAAUAAGUCGUAACAAAGUAGGUGUACUGGAAAGUGUACCUGGAUUGAU
rnacentral:rRNA from 1 species